rnacentral:rRNA from 1 species
CAACCGCAAAAGAAGCAGAGGGGGCUUAGUGGUGGGGUGACUGCGUACCUUUUGUAUAAUGGGUCAGCGACUUAUAUUCUGUAGCAAGGUUAACCGUAUAGGGGAGCCGGAGGGAAACCGAGUCUUAAUUGGGCGUUAAGUUGCAGGGUAUAGACCCGAAACCCGGUGAUCUAGCCAUGGGCAGGUUGAAGGUUGGGUAACACUAACUGGAGGACCGAACCGACUAAUGUUGAAAAAUUAGCGGAUGACCUGUGGCUGGGGGUGAAAGGCCAAUCAAACCGGGAGAUAGCUGGUUCUCCCCGAAAGCUAUUUAGGUAGCGCCUCGUGAAUUCAUCUCCGGGGGUAGAGCACUGUUUCGGCUAGGGGGCCAUCCCGGCUUACCAACCCGAUGCAAACUGCGAAUACCGGAGAAUGUUAUCACGGGAGACACACGGCGGGUGCUAACGUCCGUCGUGAAGAGGGAAACAACCCAGACCGCCAGCUAAGGUCCCAAAGUCAUGGUUAAGUGGGAAACGAUGUGGGAAGGCCCAGACAGCCAGGAUGUUGGCUUAGAAGCAGCCAUCAUUUAAAGAAAGCGUAAUAGCUCACUGGUCGAGUCGGCCUGCGCGGAAGAUGUAACGGGGCUAAACCAU